CAUGUAGGCGGCAUAACAAGUCUGGUGUGAAAUAUCUCGGCUCAACCGAGAAAACGCACUGGAAACUGUCAAGCUUGAGUAUCGGAGGGGAAGCUAGAAUUCCUGGUGUAGGGGUGAAAUCUGUAGAUAUCAGGAAGAAUACCGGUGGCGAAGGCGAGCUUCUGGCCAGAUACUGACGCUGAGAUGCGAAAGCGUGGGGAGCGAACAGGAUUAGAUACCCUGGUAGUCC
rnacentral:rRNA from 1 species